rnacentral:lncRNA from 1 species
AUGUGGAAAAUGCCGUCUGCUGCAGAAGCCUGGGAGUACGGAGCUAAGGAAAGACACGCAGAGGUGAGGGCGAGGGGCGGAAAGAGACCGUCCUCACACCUGCCAUUUGAGUGCCUGUCUGAACUGGAUUUCAUUCCACACACACCGUGGAAAAACUGCAGUUCACCUGCAGAGGCCAGAGAACCUGCAUCGGAGAGUGUUGACGUGAGGACUCCCCCGUCCACACAUGAGGAAUGCAAACGCCCGCCCAGCUGAGGACGGCCAGGAGCACACCUGCCCGGGAUUGCUGGGUCACGAGGUAUGUGCAUCUGUACGUUUCCUAGAUGUUGCCUGUCCGCGUCCCCGCCGGGGUUACCCAAAUGUCAGCUGCUCCACAUUCACACCAGGGCUCAGGAGGCUCAGACUUUGAAAACGGUGCCUCCCGCGGCUAGGACGUGAUACCUUGUUAUUUUCCUGACUGCCG